rnacentral:rRNA from 1 species
UACGUAGGAUGCAAGCGUUGUCCGGAUUUACUGGGCGUAAAGGGCGCGCAGGCGGCACAUUAAGUACACUCUGAAAUCUCCCUGCUCAACGGGGAGGGUGGAGUGUAGACUGGUGAGCUAGAGGUGGGUAGAGGGUGGUGGAAUUGCUGGUGUAGCGGUGAAAUGCGUAGAUAUCGGGAGGAACACCAGUGGCGAAGGCGACUUCCUGGCCUGUUCUUGACGCUGAGGCGCGAAGGCUAGGGGAGCGAACGGG